UUUCAGUCCUACACACCAGUGUUUAGGUAGCUUUGGGAAUGAUGUAACACAGAUGCCAUGAACUCUGAGACCACCACUUAACAUGUAAAACUGUGGUAUUUGCCAACUUUAAUGCAAUAUUGGAGCAGAAUUUCAUUUUGAAAGAGAGUUUUCAAAGAAGCAAAUGAAGUUUAUUCAAUUAUAAUUUUGAGACCAGUUGACACUUGCUUUCCAAGAAUGUGUACUGAACUUUCCAAAAAAUAAAUAUGGAUGUUAUUCAGAACAAAGUUGACGGCUUAUGCUAGACUAGAUGCAUUUAUUUACAUAGACACACACAGAUACACAAUGAUGAGCCUGCAUGCACAUCCCUAUGUGUACAAAAUUUAUUCGUUUUGAAUAUAUGUAAUAUUUUUCCAAAGUUGCAAGUGGUUGUAGGUUAAUGCUAAAAUAUUAAUUCUUUUUUAUUCCUUACUUGUAAUCA
rnacentral:lncRNA from 1 species